rnacentral:rRNA from 1 species
UGAGGAAUAUUGGUCAAUGGGCGCAAGCCUGAACCAGCCAUCCCGCGUGCAGGAAGGCGGCCCUAUGGGUUGUAAACUGCUUUUCCAGGGGGAGAAUUUUUCUGUCGUGACAGGAAUUGACGGUACCCUGGGAAUAAGCAUCGGCUAACUCCGUGCCAGCAGCCGCGGUAAUACGGAGGAUGCGAGCGUUAUCCAGAUUUAUUGGGUUUAAAGGGUGCGUAGGCGGAUUGAUAAGUCAGUGGUGAAAACCUGCAGCUUAACAGUAGACUUGCCGUUGAUACUGUCAGUCUUGAGUGUGGUCAAGGUAGGCGGAAUGUGUAAUGUAGCGGUGAAAUGCUUAGAUAUUACACAGAACACCGAUUGCGAAGGCAGCUUACUGGGCCAUUACUGACGCUGAUGCACGAAAGCGUGGGGAUCGAACAG